CUCCUGAAAAGUCGCCUCACCUACUCAGUGCUAUAAAAAUCCAAGUGCAGAUAGUUGGAAUUGGAAGACCCAGGUCCAGACAACCAAUGCUGCAAGACAGUUAACGGCUGUCGGAUAGGGCAUCGCGGAUCCUGGGGAGAUAGAAUGAAUGAAAGUCAGUCACAAGCGGGAAAGCCUGACCAAGUCCGACUAGCAAAAUAGUAGAGAAACAGGAGG
rnacentral:misc_RNA from 1 species